GACGGAGGGUGCUAGCGUUGUUCGGAAUCAUUGGGCGUAAAGAGCGUGUAGGCGGCCCGAUAAGUCCGCCGUGAAAGUCCAGGGCUCAACCCUGGAAUGCCGGUGGAAACUGUCGGGCUGGAGUCCGGAAGAGGCGAGUGGAAUUCCUGGUGUAGCGGUGAAAUGCGCAGAUAUCAGGAGGAACACCAAUUGCGAAGGCAGCUCGCUGGGACGUUACUGACGCUGAGACGCGAAAGCGUGGGGAGCAAACAGG
rnacentral:rRNA from 1 species